rnacentral:rRNA from 1 species
GACGAACGCUGGCGGCGUGCUUAACACAUGCAAGUCGAACGAGAAAGCCCUUCGGGGUAAGUACAGUGGCGAACGGGUGAGUAACACGUGGGCAACCUGCCCCAGAGAGCGGGACAACCCGGGGAAACCCGGGCUAAUACCGCAUGAUGCGGCUCCACUUAAGUGGAGCCGCCAAAUGGUAGCUUCGGCCUCCGCUCUGGGAUGGGCCCGCGCCGGAUUAGCUAGUUGGUUGGGGUAACGGCCCACCAAGGCGACGAUCCGUAGCUGGUCUGAGAGGACGAUCAGCCACACUGGGACUGAGACACGGCCCAGACUCCUACGGGAGGCAGCAGUGGGGAAUCUUGCGCAAUGGGCGAAAGCCUGACGCAGCAACGCCGCGUGGGGGAAGAAGGCCUUCGGGUUGUAAACCUCUUUCAGUAGGGACGAAGCUUCCGGGGUUAAUAGCCUACGGGGUGACGGUACCUACAGAAGAAGCCCCGGCUAACUACGUGCCAGCCGCCGCAGUAA